CAUCAACUCAGUUACUUCCAGGAAGUGAUGUCUCCCUUACUCAUCUGAUGUCCCUUCAGUAUUUUAUCAUUUCAUGCAUAUAUUAUGUGCCUUGGUAGGUGGCUCUUGUGCAUGGGUUCAUGGUUGCAAACAUGCAUGUAUGGGUUAUUCAGUAGGUGCCUACAUGCAUUGAUGUACUAUUAUACUUAUGCAUACAAGAAUGGGGACUAAGUUGAUUAAGGUUUAGUUAGGUAAUUUUAAUGGGCUCACAAGGUUGGGGUGAGGAUUUACCCUUGAGGGGGGCCCAAAAUAAUAUGCCAACUCUUAACCCUGUAGGUUCAGAAGCAGAGAACCAAAACGGAGUCAUGCCGGAGAAAAGAAAGAAGAAAAAUUGUUGAACCAUUAUAAAAUUAUGAAUCAUUUAUAAUUUAGAAGGGUAAAUUUCAAAAAAAAAGUAAAUAUAUUAUUUAUUGCUUACAAUCUUUUCCUUAAUUUGAUAAACAAGUAAACGCAUUCCUUAAUGUCAAACAAAACUUGAAAUGCAUAGAAAUUUUGAAGUCAUAUCACAUCUUGAAGAAGAGCAGCAAAAUGAAUGAUUGUUGGCCGACUGCUAUUUUUUCCAAAAGUAAAAAGAAAAAAUCAAACAAAAACAAGAAUAACAUAAGUUUGUAUUUUAAAGUAAUCAUAAAUGAUCAUAAAUUCCGUAAUUUUUUUUAAAUAUUCUUAUGAGUUGCAGGUCACAGCCAAAAUUUCAUGAAUUUACUAAUAGUUCAUACUCAAAUGUUGAAAAGUGCAAGCCAUUCACAUAAAUGAAAGCUGCAAACGAAACAUAUAAUGGCACAUUAUCUGUGGAUUUCUAGCAAUGCUGUGGAUGGAAACCAUCAUGAAAGUGUAUCAGCUCAUUAUCUGUGGAUGUUCUAGCAAUGCUCUUUAAACUUGGAAGAUGCUGAGCUCCUCCACUCGAUGUCCCAUGGGUGUGUUACUUGGACUUGUGAAACAUGUGUCAAGUGUCCAGAAGAAUCUAAUAUGCGGACCUUUAAAAAUCAGAUACAUGGACAUACAUGUCUAUUUCUUAUAUUAUUUAUUACUACACAGGUAGCAAGCUGGACUUAUUGCUACUUUAGAUCAAAAAUUGAUAAAAGAUUUGCUGGUUGAUAUGUCAGACCUCCUUCAGUUCACAUAAUUGAGUGCUGAGUGUCAUGAGGUGCCCGAACUAUCGAGUAUCCUAUACACCAAAAAACCCAACAUUUGGAUUUUGGAGUGUCUAGGACAUUGCCCCUGGGUACUUGAUGUACAUUUUAACUCCCAUAAUAUCUUUAGUUGCAUUGGAUAAUCUUUUUUGGUAUUCUAGUUGGAUGGAGUUAACCACAUAGCUAUUUUCAGCAAAUAAAGAGCCUUUUAUGAUUGAGUUGGGGUCCUAAUUUGGAAAUGGACAAGAGUAUUCUUGUUUGCCAAUGAUGGAUGUCUGUGUAUGGCACAGUGGCUGUGAUUGAGCGGGCCCCUCAUGCUUUUGUCAUAGCCUUGCUGGGCCCACUCAAUCAUGGCUACUGCACUAGACAUGGACGGCUGUGAUUGAUAAAUAAGACUUCAGUCCAACCUGAAAAGAUAGGAUCCAAACUCUUUGAUUUCCAAACUUAUCACUUCCAUUUAUAUAGGCAAUGUUAAUAUGGAAUUUGACUAAGUCUAUUACAAUGGAGGUUUGUGCCUUACUAGCUGGAAUCUUCUUCCUAGGUGACACACCCGCUUUGGAAUUUUCCUGGACCCCAAGUAUCCCUGCACCAGCACCUGCUUCCAAAUUUGGCGACUAAGGAAAGAACUCAAUGGGAACAUAUGUAUCAAAUCUAGGGAGGGCCACAUGGGAAGAAGGGGGGCAUGCUAAUCUGAAAAAGGCUGGAUUAUAUGGAUACAAUAAGAUUUUUUAAAAAUCUUGGUGGAGACUCUCCCUCCCCCCAAAAAAAAGGAAAAAGGAAAAAGAAAAACACACACGCAGAGUCCACUUGUGGACUUGUUUGUUAUCCAAUGCAGCUACUUUGCUGUCUGCUAAGCAUCUAAGUUAGGUCAGAGUGGCUAAUUAGUCAACUACAACCUGAUUCUCUUUUCUUAGCAUCGAAUGUUUGUCACUUAAUUCCUUCUGGAAUUUGUUAUAUUUGUUGAUGUCAUUUCUUUCAACAUUUACUUUUAGUCAGUGAUCUAAUACAGCGGGCAUAUAGAUAUAGUCUGGUUUUAUGGGUUUAAGAUAUUUUAAUUCAAAGCUUAAAGGAGUUCACAAUAUGCUCCUAUAAUCUUUAA